rnacentral:rRNA from 1 species
UACGUAGGUGGCAAGCGUUAUCCGGAUUUAUUGGGUUUAAAGGGUGCGUAGGCGGGCUUUUAAGUCAGCGGUAAAAAUUCGGGGCUCAACCCCGUCCGGCCGUUGAAACUGGGGGCCUUGAGUGGGCGAGAAGAAGGCGGAAUGCGUGGUGUAGCGGUGAAAUGCAUAGAUAUCACGCAGAACCCCGAUUGCGAAGGCAGCCUUCCGGCGCCCUACUGACGCUGAGGCACGAAAGUGCGGGGAUCGAACAGG